rnacentral:rRNA from 1 species
GACGAACCGUGCGAACGUUGUUCGGAAUCACUGGGCUUAAAGGGCGCGUAGGCGGGCAUCCAAGUCAGUGGUGAAAUCCUCCGGCCUAACCGGAGAAGAGCUGUUGAUACUGGGUGCCUCGAGUGGUGCAGGGGUCGUGCGGAACUUCCGGUGGAGCGGUGAAAUGGCGUAGAGAAUCGGAAGGAACGCCGGUGGCGAAAGCGG